CUAGGACAUGCUGAGGUAUGUGGCUUAUUUACCUUUCCACUUACAAAAGCGACUGGUUUAAGAAACUCUUCAUUGUGACUACAGAAAGUCUGCCUUAGACCACCACAGUCUCUUGAUGGUGAGAACCUGUAUCACUGAACCCUUUACGUGGCUGAUUGAUGCACAAGGGAGACUGAACAAUUCCUUCACUCACUCAGCCAACAGGUACUCUAUGCUGAUGCGCACCAGGCCCAUGCAAGGUGCCUGGGAUACAAAGAUAAAUAUGACACAGCCUCUUUCCUCAGCUGCACACACACAAUAGGUGAAGUGGGACCCUGAGAGCAGCCUACAGACCAUCAGCUCUAUCCUCAGCUUCUGUUGACUUGGCAAAGGUUUGCAUGUGGCUUCUUGGGAGCGGGACCCCAGUCUUUCUAUAUUGCAGAUAGUUUCUUCUAUAGUCUUUUUGAGCCCCCAGGGGCCAUCUGUGCCCCUGAGCUCUCUGCCUACUGAAAAAUCGCUCCAGAACGUGCUCUCAAACCCGGGUUCCCAUCCAAGCCAUAAAAAGAAACAGGUACCACUUCUACUUCCUUUAAUACACGGACAGAUUUGCAGACAGCUCUCGUCUGGACCUCGUCUGGCCUCUGAGGAUGGAGGCGUGUCCCUCUGUGGCCCUGCUAUGAUAAUUAAUGAAAUGGAAACGAAGGGGUCCACGCGAGGUGCUGCUUCAAAAGCAGCAGGGCUCCUCCACGGUCUCCAGAGCUGAAACUGGAGAUCUGCCGUGACGUUUGUGGUGUUGUUGACAAGGCCCGGGUUGCGACCGUUUCCAGACAAGAGAGCCUCAGAAAGCUGAGCAGUACCUGCCUCCCGAACACGCAGAGUUGAUUAGCAGUUGAGGAAGAUGGGCAACCGUGCGGGAACGACCUCACGACUGCCAGACUGGCGGCUGAGACCACCAUAACGUGACUGAGGAAACAGCCCAGGAGGACCUUUCGGGCCACUGGCCCUGGGGAGAAUCAGACAAAUGGAAACAACUGAAGGAGAGCAGGAUGAGAGGGCGGGCAUGCUAAAAGACGCGUGUCUGCCAUCUAGUGCCAAGCGGGACAAGAAGACAAAGGAAACCCUGCGCGUGGGCAGAGAAGACAUGCAAGAAAGGCAACCGAGGGUAAAGGGGAGAAACUCGAGCCGUGUGGGAAACACGCCAAGCACAGGGAGACUGCGGAGGGGAUGACAGAGCACACGCUGGCGGGGAGGGAGAGGAAGCGUAAGAAGCGAAGAUAAGUGACAAGGAUGAUGCCAAGUACACAAGGAGCGGGAGGUCACAUGAGGCAGCGGUGGAGUCUGUAAGAUGUUUCCCAGUUGGCAACACCACAUUGAGGCUUUUUUCCCUGAACAGUAACUGACUCAGUCAGGCAGCCUGGCAAGUUGCUGCUCAGCCAGAUGCAACAGAUCACCGGUUAAUUAGUCAACCUGUACAGAUGGGCUGGUGUUCCAUCUUCUCUCUCACUGUGAGCCUCCCACUGAGAUUGAUUCACUGCUGCCCGGACACCCAGGCCCCUUCAGGUCAUUAAAAAGUCGUUACCAUCCUGUGUGCAAAGUCUGUGCCUCUGAAAGCAGUUUUCUGGAAACAGCGUAAGAAAAAUCAUUCUCUUUGCAAAAAUGCUAUCAUUCAUAUGUGAAGGUGAUGCCAUCUGAUCAUCCCCAGAGACUGCACUCUUGGCCCCU